CCCUUAGAUGUCCUGGGCUGCACGCGCGCUACACUGAUGUGUCCAGUAAGCACCUAACCUCUUCCGAAAGGAACGGGUAACCUUUGCAAAGCACAUCGUGAUGGGGAUAGAUUAUUGCAAUUAUUAGUCUUGAACGAGGAAUUCCUAGUAAGCACAAGUCAUCAGCUUGUGUUGAUUACGUCCCUGCCCUUUGUACACACCGCCCGUCGCACCUACCGAUUGAAUGGUUCGGUGAAGAUCUCGGACUUCGAUAUUUGUUCUUCAUUGAACUUAUAUAGUGGGAAGUUAUCUGAACCUCAUCAUUUAGAGGAAGGUGAAGUCGUAACA
rnacentral:rRNA from 1 species